AUGAGUUUGUUUUGUUAUCUUUUCGUAUUUUUGGCACUUGUUUGGUCACUUGUUGUUGUCUUUCGCAAAUAAUCUGGCACCUCAAGGAAAGUUAGGGUGUCUUGACUUUCCUCCGAUUACGGAAAUCGACGGUGCAAAUUUUGCUUCCCACAGUUUGGGCUAGAAGGAUAGGGGGUACGGAUUACUCUAAUUCAUAGCCGCAAAACGCAUGAUCAAAACGAUGUCUGGAAAUACGAAAGACAAAAUUGCAGUUCGCAACAACACUGGUAAAACAACUCCAGCAGGCACUGCACUUAUGGCCAAUGCUUACGCAAACGGCACAGUUCUUGAGAAAAUCGAAAACCUAGCUGCAAAUUUUUGCCACAGGAAGAACAACGAAACGAGCUCGCGAUUUCAUUGUCUAAACAUAAAGGGAAACGAUAAAUUUUAUCAAACCCCAUAAGAUUUGGCUCAUGACCGAGCUAAAGAAGUCUCAACGGGUAAGAGUUUUACCAAAAGACGUUUUUCGAAGACUUUUCGGAAAAAUAAAACUUAAUCUCCCCAAAACCGCAGAAAAACCCUUGGUUAAUCACGGAAAAAGGAGGCACAGCAAAUCGGGUACAUAACUCACUGCUGCACUUCUUUCGAUUUUUUUGCGGAAAAACCUAGGUUAAUCGCGGAAAAAAUAAGCACAACAAAUCGGGUACAUAACUCACCGCUGUACUUCUUCCAAAUAACUUUUGGAGAAACGAAGUUAAUUUCUAUAGAAUCACUUGAAAUCUAAAAUGGCUGACGAAGACUAAACAAAGCUAAAUGGGAGAUCGUAUCCCAUCGCUAAAACAUUUUCUGAAACCUAUAGCUGAGUCAGCUGAGUCAGCUAGUCCAUCCAGCUGAUCGAGCUGAACCACUCUACUUGAGCUCAACCGAGCUUCGUCCAGCUGAUCGAGCUUCUUGCUCGCAUCGCCCAGCUGCUAUUCACCUCGUCCAGUUUGCUCUCUUUAUGUUAUUCAAUCCGUAUAAGUCCUUUCGUCCAUUUCUCGACCUAGAAUAAGUUUUCCCAUGGCCCAUUAUGAUCAUUCUCUUCAUCACACCUUGUUCAUGAUCAUUUCCCAUUAUCUGAACCAAGGCAGUCUCGUUUCUAUUGAAACGUCUAGGCCCUAUGUCAAAUUACCGGGACAGGGAUGUUACACCUUCCACUAGGACUAGCAUCAGACUCCGAUCUAGGCGAUGAAACCCUAACAGAAGCACUCUUAGGAUUCCAAUUAACACUAGUAGAAAGACGAAGAGGGAGAGGAAGACUGUCGUCAUCUGAAGAAGAAUCUAAGAUUACGAUAAACAACAGCAUAGGAGCGAAAAGAUCAUCCAUAAAUUCUUCAGUCGGAGACGUCAUACAAUUUUAAAAGCAAGAGAAGAUAGGAAUAAAAGAAUAGAAAAAAAUACAAAGACCUAAGCGACAUUAACAGCUAAAAACAAUAAUCAAAAUAAGAAAACAAAGAGGAGUCAAAGAAAAUUGCACCAGUAACUGCAAAUAAAAAAAAAUCCAACACACACAAACAAUGAAAAUAAAAAGAAAAAGAGAGAUGUGUUCAAAAAAGAAAAGAAAGAUGAAACAAUCCUUUCACCUAACAAAAAUGAAGAAUGAUAGAAGACAAAGAGUUAACACGUCAAACUUGAAACCAAAAAAUAAAAUGAGUGCCACGCUGAAUUGAUUCGCUUCCCGAGGGGAUGGAAUCUCCUAUUUGCCUUGAUCUAACAUCCGGCCAACUCAGCAACGAAAACUGAAAUCUCAAUAUGUUUUGAAAAAUCAUAAACCACCAAUCACAAAUACAUUACCUAGAACCCAUGUUCGGGAUCGCGCUAGACGUGAGUCGGGCGGACGGUAUAGGCGAGUUAACAGAAAAUCGGAGAUUAAUCGGGGAUUUAUUUUCAAGAAUUUCUUUAUUUUCAAAUAUAUAUAUAUAUAUAUAUAUAUAUAUAUAUAUAUAUAUAUGUGUAUUUAUCUGCUUGUGGGAAAGAUAACGAUGUGAUGUUGUGGCCUAGUGGUACAUUAUUGCUCUGUUAAUCCUUCUCAAAUCUCCAAAAUGCUAGUUUUGACUCUAUUUUUUUAUUGAAAGGCAAAACUAAACAUCCCACAUUGGAAGAACACGAAGUUUGUCAAGAGAAAACACUCCCUUAUAAAUAAAGCAUGAUGCUCCCUUGAAGAAAUCGUAAAUAUGCUAUAAUUUAGUCUGAGUCCCUUCUUAAAAGUUGGUUAUGCAAUUUUUUUAGCUAUAAAUCGGUUAUUAAUUCAAUUAAAUAGCGGUUAGUUGCAUUAAAUGGUUUAUUGACCAUUGACCGAUUUUAAUUUCCGAGUUGGUCAAAACGCAACGGUUGGACUCCGAGGGGCGUUUUUGUGGCCGCAGAAUCGGUUGUUCGGCCGCGAUUUCGAACCUGGCCUAUAACGGAAUAAACACCGGCCCAUCUUGAGCCGGCUAAGAGUCAAUGCUGACCUGACCCGGUCAACUUGAAAUGUUGAGAAGAUUGGCAUAUUAAUGGCGACUUAAAGACACCAGAUACACACCGCGAGUCAAGCUGCCAUUAGGAUUCUCCACGACCAGCUGUAAAAAGAGGACUAGUGAAAAGGAGAAUGGGGAUCCAAGCCUCAUAUACCAAAAUGAUAUUAUUUUACACUUAAAUCCACUUGUAUUCUUAUCCAUCUUAUUGUUCAUCAUUAUAUCAACGUUUAUUAUCAAUAAAAACACUUUUUUAUCUUCAGAUCACUACUUGUUUAACACAUUUGCGAUUCUAACCUUAAUUUGGAUCCCAUGUUCUAUGACCCUUUAUCUUGUCGCAUCAGCCUAAUAUUUCAAGGCAAGUGACUUCCAAAAACGUAAAUCAAACUAAUUUUGUUUGGUUAAAUUAGGCGAGAGUUUAACCGACCCAAAGAAACCGACAAUUGAAUAACCUAAUAACUAGGCCCAACCUAAAUGAUCGCGUGUAGUUAAGGAAGAAUGGUUUAAUAAGAGAGAUGUACAAGAGCUUUUUUCUAAUAAAAUUGUUAUUCUAACAUAUUGUUGCCUAACUGGUGUAAGAACGAAAAAGUAAUUUGAUGAAUUUCGAACUAAACAAGUCGAGUACAUUUCCAUUUCUUAAUCUACUUUUCCUUUGCUAUAAUAUCACCGUCGUUGCUUCUACGAAAGAUAGAUACAUAUCACAAGUGGUCAAAGUGCAGAUCAUUGCAAAGUAAUAGUUUGAACGCCAUGUUGAAUGGCAUGAUUAUGCGUUGUUUCGGUCCUCCUUUUUGCCAUAUAUUUGAUUAACUUUCGCUUAUUACUUCUAAGAUAUAGAUUUACUAUUUCUUAUAGAAAUUUAGAUUUUCAAAUCUACAUUAGGAAAUUUUACAUUUUUCUUUUUACGUUUUUUAUCUUUUCAAACUUAUUUGCAUGCUAUAAAAUUAUGUUUUUUCUAGCAACAACCAUCUUUUAUUUUCAUUUUAAUAACUUUAAUACUAACUGGCGACCCUCCCCUAAAUACGUCAUAGUUGUUCAUCGUUAGAAAGGGGUGAAAGUAAAUAAAAGAUGGAUUAUAAAAUCUAGAAAUGAAAGAAAAAUAGAGGGCUGGAAUUUUCAAGAAAAAGAAAAAAACACUUGCUUAUUGCAUAUGACUUGUCACGUGUGAAUUAGCUGGCGAAAACAUAUUAUAAAAGUGGCCAAUACUAAACAUUAAACCCCAAUUAUAUCCAUCAGCGUACUAAGAAAUCAUCCACCACCCAGAAAUCGUGUAAAGGCAUUGUUUGGUUGAUGGAACAACAUAUAUCUCAAGAUCAAGCUCGUGAGUCUCUCAUCGCCAUCAUCUCUUACACCUCAUCGCUGGAGCAAGAGCCUCUAACCACCUCAGAUGUGAGACCUGUCGUCACCAUAAGAAACUCGGAAGAUGCGGAAGAGCUCAGAUCAGAGCUGAUUUCCAUCUCCGACCACGACUCACCGGAUGAACCUAUUUCCUCGACACCACCGGCCAACAGUAUCUGUCGUGGAUAGUAGUAAAUGUACAGCACCAAGUCUUUGCUUUUGUUUGGUCUAAAAGUAGACCAUUAAUGUCACAUAUGUAAACGUCUCUCAUCAAUCAAUAUAUCUUCUUUGUGUGCUUA